rnacentral:rRNA from 1 species
GCAUAACGCGAAGAACCUUACCCAGACUUGACAUCCUUGGAAGGCCUCCGAAAGGAGACUGUGCCUUCGGGAACCAAGUGACAGGUGUUGCAUGGCCGUCGUCAGCUCGUGUCGUGAGAUGUUUGGUUAAGUCCAUCAACGAGCGCAACCCUUAUAGUUAGUUGAAUUUUCUAGCUAGACUGCCCUGGCAACAGGGAGGAAGGAGGGGAUGAUGUCAGGUCAGUAUUACCCUUACGUCUGGGGCUACAAACACGCUACAAUGGCCGGUACAAAGGGCAGCCAACCCGCGAGGGGAGCUAAUCCCAUCAAAGCCGGUCUCAGUUCGGAUUGCAGGCUGAAGCUCGCCUGCAUGAAGCCGGAAUCGCUAGUAACGGUAAGUCAGCACAUUACCGUGAAUACGUUCCCGGGUCUUGUACACACCGAGUCUUGUACACACCGGGUCUUGUACACACCG